AUUGAACGCUGGCGGCAGGCCUAACACAUGCAAGUCGAGCGGAUGAAGGGAGCUUGCUCCUGGAUUCAGCGGCGGACGGGUGAGUAAUGCCUAGGAAUCUGCCUGGUAGUGGGGGAUAACGUCCGGAAACGGGCGCUAAUACCGCAUACGUCCUGAGGGAGAAAGUGGGGAUCUUCGGACCUCACGCUAUCAGAUGAGCCUAGGUCGGAUUAGCUAGUUGGUGGGGUAAAGGCCUACCAAGGCGACGAUCCGUAACUGGUCUGAGAGGAUGAUCAGUCACACUGGAACUGAGACACGGUCCAGACUCCUACGGGAGGCAGCAGUGGGGAAUAUUGGACAAUGGGCGAAAGCCUGAUCCAGCCAUGCCGCGUGUGUGAAGAAGGUCUUCGGAUUGUAAAGCACUUUAAGUUGGGAGGAAGGGCAAUAAGUUAAUACCUUGCUGUUUUGACGUUACCAACAGAAUAAGCACCGGCUAACUUCGUG
rnacentral:rRNA from 1 species